CCUUGUUUGUGUGUUUGUUCGUAGGGUGACAGUUGUCCCGCUUUGCCCAGGAUUGAGAUGGUCUCUGAGGCCUGGCACUUGCAGUGCAGAACGCAGAUGGUUGGUUUCCUUGGUUCACCAGUUGAAGGACAUUCAGGUUGUUUCCAGUUUUGUACAUUUGGUUUUGUAUAUUUAUUUACUCUUUAUAACCAGAUUUUAUAACAGAGCCCAGAUUUCCAUUUCUCUUGGUUAAGUCCCUGGAGCGGUUCUGGGGGUUGAGUAAGAAGCUGCCAGGCUGCGUGGAGAGUCUUGCAGGCCCGCCAGCAUCGUCUGUGAAUUCCUGUUGCUCCACAUCCUCUCCAGGACCUGAGAGCGACUGGCAGUUUUUAAGCCAUUGUUAUAGAUGUAGGAGGGUAUCUCCUUGUGGUUGGCAGAGGUUUCCUUUAUCCAUUUUGCUGGCAUUUUCAGGACCAGAUGCUUGACUGCCACCUGCUGGGGAACCGCCCUAAAAAGUGUCCAAUUCUGUGACACUAUGAUGUGACCAAGUGCACCUGUUGGAUUUGGUGUCUAUGUGCAGUGCACAGCCUGCUGAACUGUACAGGGGACCCAGCACAUAAUGACACACAGCCAGCCCAGCAGAGGGGAGAGUAAGCUAUACAUAUGUACAUAGUCAAAUGUUCUUCAGAAAGUGCUGGCACAUGAGCUGGGCAUGGUAGUGCACAUCUGUAAUCCCAGCUCUCAGGAGGCUGAGGCAGGAGCAUCUCCAUGGGUUCAAGGCCAGCCAGGCCUACCUAGUGAGUUCGAGGCCAGUCCGAACUACCUAGUGAGACCCUGUCUAAACAAACAAACAAGUGGUGGCACAGCUGGUUAGAGAGGAGGCCCAGGAGGCAUGCAGGAGCUAUGAUUUAGUUUUUCUUUUUUCUCUUUUUGCUACCAGGAAUCAAACUCAGGGCCUCGUGCUUGCGAAGGCAGCUGCUGCACCACUGAGCUACAUCCCCAGCAGGAGCUACGAUUUGAAUUAGUGAAAGAGCACCAAUUAAUAAUGUGGAGAAGACCCAGGCCACCUUCCCCAUCCUCUGGGACUCUGGCUUCCUGUGCAUGGGCCACAGCCGCAGUGGCACGCGGCUGGCCAUGGUGGUGUCACUGGACCUCAACGCCACCAGCCAAGUGAUGGCUGUGCAACUCCAGGUGAGACUCUGGAGGAUGCACAGGGCCCUCGGGGCUGCUUCUCCCCCACACUUCCAACUGGGACCUGGGAUGUGUCUCAGAUGGUCAUCACUCCCCUAGCCCUUGCUCCACACACCACUCACUUGGUCCCUGCAGUCUCCUGUCCCUGCGCCACCAGCCCUGCUUGUCUGUGCCAUGGCCUGUUGCAGAGAACAUCAUUUAGCUGUUCAUUAGCCAGGUCUUACAAGCACAAGCUGAAAAUAAAUAGAUACUCAGCAGCCCUCUGCAGUUUCCCCACGUGACGAACACAUGGCCCGCUGACCCCAUCCCAAACUCACCGCAGCCCUCCCCUCCUUGCACACAUUCUGUUAGAACAGACAGUAGGACAGGGUGUGAGGCGCAUGUUUGUGGGUAGAGCUGGGGUGGCAGCCAGGCUCCUGGAAAACUCUCUGGGGGCCGCUCAGUCCCUUUGCUGUCCUGGCCUGGCAGCCUGCUGGGAAGCACCACUUGGGUGGAGGUUCAAAGAGCUUUCAUCACAGGACAUGUGAGAGGGUGGCCCUGUCUGAUCACUGUUGUCCUAUGGUACCCAAGUUGGGACCAGUCUGUGGUAUUAACAGACUUCCUGGGUGGCAGGUGGGUUGAGUCUGAGUCUCACCUGAGUCCUCGGCUUGUGGGCUGGGGUGGGGUGCAGGGCUGAGGGCUGGCAGCAGACAGUGCCAUCCACCCCACAGACCAUGCUCCUGGAGAAGAGCCGAGUGGUACAGCCACAGAAGCGGAAGGUGCUUCCCCCAUCUUCUCCCAGACUUGGGCUCUCCUCUGUCCUCCCUGAAACCGGACCCCUCAGGAGUGCCUAACCCACCUCAAUAACCUCCUUCACUGCUCUGGAAAAUGAAAAAGGGAUCGAACUUGAGACCUUGCGCUUGCAAGGCAGGCGCCGGAACCACUGAGCUAAAUCCCCGACCCUCCAGCCACCUCUGAAAAGCCCCCCUACCUAUGACUGAAUGAGGCUUUGGGAGGACAUCUAGACACAAGCCAUAACAAGGCACGGGGUGCCUUUGCCAUUGCUGUCCUUCCACACACCCGCCAUCCGUUCUGGUCCAGACGGUCAUCUCCCAAAAGUCAGGUAAGCUUCUAGAUCUCCUUCAGACCAUUCGUGAUCCUUCCUGGCCUGGGGAACUGUCCCCUGGACAUGGUCCCUCAGGAGCACUAGUCUCCUGCUAGUGGCCGCCAUUCUCUUACUCAUCCUUGGUCUUGGUCGAUCUCCCCAGCUUUGGGAACUGUCCCUGUGACCUGGGCCCUCAGAAAACACUGGUCUCAUGCUGGUGACCCCUGUUCUCUUGUUUGCCUACAGACAGACCUCACCCACUCCACUAUGGAUAGUUCCAGUCUGGCCCUCCGACUUGCCUUGCCUUUGUCUAUUUCCUUUUUUUUUUUUUUUUUGUUGAGACCGGGUCUCACUGUGUAGUUUGGGCUGGCCUUGAGCUAUGUAGCCCAGGCUGGCCUCAAACUCACAGUGAUCCUCCUGCCUCAACCUCCUGAGUGCUAGGAUUAUAGAUGUGCUGUGUGUCACCAUGCCCACCCUGUCUGUCUCCUUAAAAAAACCUAAAAAUCCUCCAUAAUUUGAUGCUCUUUCUGCCUUCUAACUCUUGUUCGUGUAACUCUAUACUGUUAAAACAACAAAAAUAUUAUAAGUGAUCUCUUAUGAUUCACUUAAAAAGUACUGUGAUGCCUAAGGGAAAUAAUUGUUUUAUGUAUCUUAUUUUUGUUUUGUUUUCUUUAAUAAAUCUUAUUUUAUGUAUCGUG